CCUUGUACACACCGCCCGUCACACCAUGGGAGUGGGUUGUACCAGAAGUAGGUAGCUUAACCUUCGGGAGGGCGCUUACCACGGUAUGAUUCAUGGCUGGGGUG
rnacentral:rRNA from 1 species